AGGUGGGAGACAGACCCUCCCCCGAAGCAUCACCGUGCUCCUGCAGGCCUCUCCAACCCUCCUCAUCCUCCAGCAGUCCAGCAGCCCCUCCCCUCCCGAGCCCGCACUGGGCCCCGCCCAGAACCAGGCCUAGGUGUCUCCGGCCAGCGGGCGCCAGAACGCCUAAAUCUCCUCCAGGAAGUCGGUGGGGAACAGCCCCACCUUGCGGCCGGUGUAGACCUUGACAUAGCCGCCAGCUUCGUCUCCUUUCUGCACAACGAUCUAGGGAGUUAAAGGACGGACGGGGAGCAGGAGCUGAAUUAAAGACCGACGAGAGCGGGGAAGCCAGCCGGGAGAGCUCUCACACGUUAGCGUCUCCCAGGUGUGUGGAGGGGGGAGGCGCGAUCACCCGGGCUACCUGGUCUUUCUUCAGAGUGAUCUGCCCAAUCUCACGGUUGCCCACAAAGGAUCUGGUGACACGGUGCACACGUUCUCCAGCCCGGACCCGAAUGAUGAAGUUUGGAGGGAAGAAUCCGACCUUCUCUCCGAUUUUCCCCUAGAGGACGGAGUAGUUCAAACUACUCACAGAUAAGGAGAGAAAGGAAGAGGCCGAACAGACUCAGGAAAUGAAACGAUGAGGAAGAGACGACUUCCUUCUGAGACUCCCUAAGUCAGGAUUAAGGUGUAGCUUCUGCAUCCCUGAAGGGUGUUUCAGAAGACUAGAUGGACAGAAAUGAGGCCAGCAUCUCGACCCAGUUCUGGACCAUCUCACCCAGCUCAGUAGCAAGGGUAUAAUGAGUAGCAGAAUUAAUGGGCAAGAAGGAACCUCUGAUAUGGAUACAAAGGCCCACAGCUGAGAAGCAGUGUGCUUGAGGAAGAGCAGUGUGCAAUUUUGAGAACCACAGACCCAGCCAUCUAUAAGAAGUGUGUACAGGGAAGAGGAGGGGCCAGAAGGAAGAGACCCUAGGGAAAUCAUCCUAGCCUACAAAAGACCCUUCCAGCCGUUGUGGGACGGGACCUCCUCAGAGCCUCAAACCCAACCACACCAGUCAUUAACAGAGAACAGUGAUGAUGUCCAGCGACAGGUUUUUGCUUUUUUUAUAUUUAUAAACAAAACCAACCUCCCCCAUUAACUCCCCAAACAAACAAAAAACCAGAUUAAAUAAAAUGUACAGUGAAUACACCCAGCAAACAUCUGUAUGUGCAAUUGAAUACUGUGUCUGUUACUGUGGCACAAACCUCAAACAAACAAUAUACAGUGUUCUGGGGAAGGAGGGGGGUCCCAAGUUUUAACUCUGUGGGGUUUGGGGAG